ensembl:lncRNA
AUAAACGUUGCAUACUAUUCAGAAAUCAGCAACGUUUAAGACGGUUUGUAGGUAGAGGGUAUAGUUUGCAGCGAAGGCUUUGCCGAUUAUUUUACUGUGAGGUUAACAUUACCAAAGUACAUUGUUAAGUUGGAUGUUAAGGUGUCAGCUGGCAUGGUAAAAGGCAUGAAAUCGCGGCCACUCUGCUUCGUUGUGGUGACACACGCAUCGGAUUAAACUGUGCAUGUAAACGUACUAGUACGUCUAAACGAACUAGUAUGUUUACAUGCAUGGCAUAUCAGAGAAUUCUGUCAGUUCGGUCGCGGCGCAACGAAUGAAUAAAGAUCGUUAGCACUCUGAAAAACAGAUGACAGAUGUGCCCUUAGUUACUACUUUAUUACGUCUUUAUUUCGUUGAUGACCAACGUUUAGGAAAACAUGUACUUUUAAUUCACCCUUGGGUGAAAUCGAAGCGUAGUGUGUACUGAAUGCUUGUUGAUGAUUAUGCAUAUGAAUUGCAACUUACACGUCUUCCAAACCUUUUCAGUACCCUGGCACAUGCUUUGUCCAAUGGACCAUGGAAGGGACUUUACUUGGCUGACGAGGACGCACCUCACCAGUAUCAGAGCAACAGCUGUGGGGUGUUUAUGCUGAUGGUGAGAUGCAUUAUUUUCAGAAAUGAUGACUAGUUUGCAAAACAACUAACUCAUUUGUAUGUUAAUUUCAGUACGCAAUGUAUUCUACCCUCAAAAGCAAUAUGAUUUCGGGGGACAUGCUCUCUAUCAGGAGGUGGUGGUUGGACUGCUGUUGGAGACCUUUAUGCUUGAAAGCCCUGCAGAACUAGCUGGCUCCUUCUCACCCUCUCCAUCUCCCCAUCUCAGUCACACCUUCCAAUCACUAAGCAGUGAAAGCCCUGCAGGACUAGCUGGCACACCAAGCUCACCCUCUCCAUCUCCCCAUCUCAGCCACACGCUCCAAUCUGGCACAACAGAGGACAGGCCAUUCUUACCACCCGAAGUCCUUCAGCAAAUUGUACAAGAGACGCUGAGACUGGACAUGGCGAUGCUUGGCGUGUUCAACAGGGUUUCAAACACAUUCCGAGAACUAAUCAAGCCUCUCCAUCCUUCAAUAUAUAAAUGACAGUUUGGCAGGGGACAUUAAGCUUAAUAAAGACAAUCUCAUAUACAUAACGGUUAGAAAGAUUUACAACAAUGCAGGCUGUGGCAGUGGCCUUGCGCUACGCCUCAAAGGCUUCUUAAAAAAGAAGAAUUGGCCAAGCGCACCCCUGGUACUGAGGCACGUUGCAUAUGGCAGGUUUGUCAUAAAAGAUGUCUGCAUAGCAUAAUGUUAUUUUAUUACUCC